rnacentral:rRNA from 1 species
CUACGGGGGGCUGCAGUGGGGAAUUUUGCGCAAUGGGGGCAACCCUGACGCAGCAAUACCGCGUGAGUGAAGAAGGCCUUUGGGUCGUAAAGCUCUUUUCUAAGGGAAGAUAGUGACGGUACCUUAGGGAUAAGCACCGGCUAACUCCGUGCCAGCAGCCGCGGUAAUACGGAGGGUGCGAGCGUUGUUCGGAUUUACUGGGCGUAAAGGGCACGUAGGCGGCCUAGCAAGUUAAGGGUGAAAUCCCGGGGCUCAACUCCGGAACUGCUCUUAAAACUGCUAAGCUAGAGAUAGUCAGAGGCGGGUGGAAUUCCAGGUGUAGAGGUGAAAUUCGUAGAUAUCUGGAGGAACACCGGUGGCGAAGGCGGCCCGCUGGGGCUAUUCUGACGCUGAGGUGCGAAAGCGUGGGGAGCGAACGGGAUUAGAUACCCUGGUAGUC